CCAUGGAGCUUUAAACUCAAUAUAUACUACGCAUUUAUAUCACUAUAGCCCAAGAAAAUUAUAUAUUGGUUUUGGGUUGGGGGGACCGCGGAGAAAAAAUUAACCUCCACGACAAAUAGGCCAACGCCUUUAUCUACGAACCACAAUUCUAAGAAUCAAUAAACUGAUGUUUAAUGAUCCAAUUUUUUGAUCAACGAACCAAGUUA
rnacentral:rRNA from 1 species